CUUUUCUUUUUUUUUUCAUUUUCUUUUUUAUUAUUAUUGCUGCAGGUGUUCAGUCUCUCUCUGUUUUUUUGAGUCAACACACAUCACUGACCACUGCAUUGCACUUCGCCGCGAAUGGAAAAUCUUUCAUCCCAUUGAAUAAAAACAAGGAGCCUGCCACACAUUUUUUUUUUCUCUUUCAGCCCCAAAAUUAGGAAAGAAAGAAUGCCUUCAUUGCCAAAGCCUUCUGCGGCACCCAAAUACACCCAAAAUCUUCAAAAAUUACUCAGUGCACCAAUUAGUACGCAAACUACUUCGCUGAAAUACCUCAAACCCAUCCUCUUAAUUCUGGAAUCAUCGGAUGAGUUCUGCUUUGCGAGUGGUGGUGUGUCAGGCAAUGGUACGGGAACUCCGCAGCAAUACAAUGGUGGCGCAAAACUGACGAGGGCAUCUUCGGCGCAAUCAUUGCUCAAUUCUACAACUCAUUAUCAACAAUAUAA
rnacentral:ribozyme from 1 species